UACGUGAGGGGCGAACGUUGUUCGGUGUCACUGGGCUUAAAGGGUGCGUAGGUGGUUCUGUAAGUAAGGUGUGAAAUCCCUCGGCUUACCCGGGGAGUUGCAUUUUAUACUGCAGGACUUGAGGGCUAAAGGGGAAAAGGGAACUCCAGGUGUAGCGGUGAAAUGCGCAGAUAUCAGGAAGAACACCCGUGGCUAAGGCGGCUCUCUAGUACGGUACUGACGCUGAGACGCGAAAGCGUGGGGAGCGAACAGG
rnacentral:rRNA from 1 species